rnacentral:rRNA from 1 species
GAUGAACGCUGGCGGCGUGCCUAAUACAUGCAAGUCGAGCGAACAGAUGAGGAGCUUGCUCCUCUGACGUUAGCGGCGGACGGGUGAGUAACACGUGGAUAACCUACCUAUAAGACUGGGAUAACUUCGGGAAACCGGAGCUAAUACCGGAUAAUAUAUUGAACCGCAUGGUUCAAUAGUGAAAGACGGUUUUGCUGUCACUUAUAGAUGGAUCCGCGCCGCAUUAGCUAGUUGGUAAGGUAACGGCUUACCAAGGCAACGAUGCGUAGCCGACCUGAGAGGGUGAUCGGCCACACUGGAACUGAGACACGGUCCAGACUCCUACGGGAGGCAGCAGUAGGGAAUCUUCCGCAAUGGGCGGAAGCCUGACGGAGCAACGCCGCGUGAGUGAUGAAGGUCUUCGGAUCGUAAAACUCUGUUAUUAGGGAAGAACAAAUGUGUAAGUAACUAUGCACGUCUUGACGGUACCUAAUCAGAAAGCCACGGCUAACUACGU